UGGAAAUGAGUUAUGGCUACACAUUAUCCCGAUUUGAUUUUCUGCCGUAAGCAGGCUGGUGUUGCUAUUGGAAGACUGCGUGAAAAAUGUGACGGCAAAUACGUGAUCUACGACUCGUUUGUGCAUCCCUGCACCCUGGUUCGCAUUUGUGAUGAGUGUAACCAUGGAUCUUACCAGAGCUGGUGUGUGAUCUGUGGAGGUCCCGGAGUCUCUGAUGCCUACUACUGUAAAGGGUGCACCAUUCAGGAGAAGGAUAGAGACGGUUGCCCAAAGAUUGUCAGUUUGGGGAGCUCUAAGACAGACCUGUUCUAUGAUGGGUGGGUGGCUCCUUCCUCCCCCAUCAAGUUGCUGCAGCUGCCAGAAUAG